UACGUAUGCAGCGAGCGUUGUUCGGAGUUACUGGGCGUAAAGGGUGUGUAGGCGAUUCUCUAAGUUUGGUGUGAAAUCUCCCGGCUCAACCGGGAGGGUGCGCCGAAAACUGGAGGGCUAGAGUGCGGGAAGGGAGAGUAGAAUUCCUGGUGUAGCGGUGAAAUGCGUAGAUAUCAGGAGGAAUACCGGUGGUGCAGACGGCUCUCUGGACCGCGACUGACGCUGAGACACGAAAGCGUGGGUAGCAAACAGG
rnacentral:rRNA from 1 species